AGGUGGAAGAUAAGAAUAUCAUCUUCAGAGCUGGAGACCAAACACCGGGAGGAACAGAAACCAGAGAGUGGGGCUCAGCAGGACCCUCCCUGUUAACCUCGGAACUGCUGGGGCGUCUUCUUGUUUCCUGUCACUCACCAUCAGGAGUCAAGUUCGUACUGAUUUCUUGCCUUUUGGCCUUUUGGGUGGGUCCCACCUAUGUUGGCCCAGCAGGGACUGUGCCCCGUGUUUGAGCUAUUCUUGCACAAACCCAAGGGGCUGCUCAGUGCUCGGGGGAGUCAGGGCUAGCUGGUAGACCUUGCCCACGCUGGUGAUGACAGUGGGAGGAGGGGUGAGCGGUGGUGGGUGGUGCCCCCGUCUCGCAGUGGGGCUGGGUCUCUGGGAAGGAUGCAUCUCACCAUGUGGGCUGCUUUGUAAGGGUGCAGGUGUCACCAUUCUCAGCCUCCAGCCCUGGCCUCUGGGUUGGGCACACAAGCCCUAAGGUUGCCCUGGAGAAGCUUCACCUCUUAGCCCGGGACCUGGAUGAUCAGGGGGGGCUGGGCAGGUGAUUUCGGCCAAAAGUUACUGUCAUCUACAGUAUUUAGAAUUUCUUCCCUUAAAGCAAAAUCAAAAUACUAGCAAAGUCAAGACUUCUUGAUAGGUAAUGACAGAGAAUAUGACCUUUCAGUUUAAGUAUGUCACGGAAAAUAACACACUUAAACAUUGGUGAAAAAAAUAUAAUUAAAAAAAAAUGAUCUCUUGAUUAACAACUAGUGUUCUUUGGAAAGAUCCCAGAACAUUAAAACAACUUCAUAAUUUCUGUUCCUCUCUAAUAAUAGAUGAUUUCUCAAUGCUCUAUACACAUGAUCAAUUUUAGUCCUUUUAACAAAAUUCAACUUCAGCUUUCCUAGCCCCGCUCACCACUGGGAAAGCAGGUGUAAGUUCAGGUAAGAGGUUCCCCAGCCAGGAAUCAGCAGGUCUGGGACCGAAGCACACUGCUGCUCUCGCUGGUGUGUGCUGGGUCCUCAGGUCCCUGCUCCCAGCUUUUCUGCCUCUGGGAGCCCUUCUGAACGGCAGCAGCACAGGGGAGCUCUCUGCCGGGGCGGGAGAGCGGGUGGCAACAGCUGUCCUCACGUGGGUGGCAGCUGCGCCUUCGCCGUCCCGUUUCCACACAUCUCUCAUUUGACCUGCACGAGGACCCCGCGAGACCGAGCUUGUUACUUUCAUGAUCCUUCUUUGCAGACACGGAACCGAGGAGGGUGGAGUAACCGUCUCCAAGGAGGCCAGUUCCUGGUUUUUCACUCUGCGUGUCCACAGCAAAGCCUGCUGGUUCAGACAGGGCUCUGCCCACCUGCCCACACCGCCCAGGGUUGUGGGGCCCUCCCGACUCACUGCACUGAGCACGUUUGACUGUGUCUGCAUUUUCCGUUUCAUGCCUUUCCAUCACGUUUACCAUAAAUAGUAGGACCUCUCCAGAUCUUCACCUCAGACAGUUGUGCUGCCUGUUAUGGGGUCCCUUCCCUGGGGUAUAGAACCGUUAAACUGCCCAGAAAAACCGACCACGUAACCAACCGUGAGGGAUACGAAUGACUUUCUUGAUGAUUUCACUGAUUCAUUCGACACUUGGUGCUGCCGUGCGAGGCCCUGAGGGUCCUGAGAUGUGUACGACCACGCAGCCCUGGGGACAUCUAGGUGUGGCGCGAAGAAGGCGAGGUGAAUCUCCCAAGAACACUUCCCGGUAAAGCUCCUGCACGCAGGUUUCCAUCCCAGACUCUGGGAGACCUCAAGGCAGCUGACAUUGGCAGUGGUGUGAGAAGUGGCUUCUCAGUGGAAAAGUGGAGCUGGAGCACACGCCGCUGACCCCGAGGACCCUGUCACUGGUGCUAAGUGGAGCAUGGUUGGCGCUGGAGAGGCACGAGGGAAACGGUGAUUAGAAGGCUCCUGGGAUGAUGGGGUGGCCGUGGCUGAGGGCUGCUGAUUUGCUGAAGAGAGAAUGACAGGCUUUCAGUGACUCAUCACCUGUUUAAGGCAAAGCACCUCCGUGGCAGCAUUUAAGCAAAUCUCUGUUCUGCAGCUGGAAGACAGGCCAGCUGGAGGGCCGGUCUUAACCCCAAGAAUAGCAGAGUUUUAGAGAAGGGUUAAGUUCUUCAAGGUCAAUGAAACUAAAAAUCAACCACAGAAAGAGAAAUGAGAAAAAAAAAAUUACAUGGAGACUAAACAACAUGCUAUUAAAAAACCCCAAUGGGUCAACGAUGAAAUCAAAGAGGAAAUAAAAAAAAUUACCUCGAGACAAACAACAAUGAAAAUACAGCCAGACAAGAUGCAUGGGAUGCAGCACAAGCUGUUCCAAGCGGGAAGUUCUCCCAGGUCAAGGUCCUAUAAGAAAGUGGCGGGACCCUGACACGUGGGGUUGGGUGCCCUGGGCAGUGAGAUCCUUGUCCCCUGGAGCCUCUGAACCCGCAGAAGCGGUCCACUCCAGCUCAGGAGAAGACGUUGAUGUUCUUUUCUCAGUGGUCUUACAGAAGGCAUCAAGUCUUCACUCAUAGUCCUCAAACAAGUGAUGGAGGGGAUGCUGAAUGCAACCAACGUAGAGCUAGCCACAGAGCAGCCUGGCCAGAAAGUCCACAUGUUCACAAAGGCAGAACUGGAAGAGGUUAUCAAGGACACUUAAGGAAGCGUGAGCCUUGGAAUUUCUCGGGGACAAUCUCGGUUCUCCUAAUUGCCCUUAACUUUUAUUUUCAGCUCCAUGUCCUUGGAUAUCCUCCAACGUUUGUGCUUUUUUUUUUUUUUAAUGAUGUCUGUACAUAAAGUUCUGAAAUAAAAUAUAUAUAUAUAUACACACACACAAUAAAUAAGGCAGGCAUCCUACAAAACAAAACUUGCUCCCUUGGGAUCCAGCCCUGUCUUCAUUCAAGACGAAUGAUGAGGGCCAAAUCUCAGCACAGCCUGACGGGGGCUGAGCUGGGCUGGCCCAGGCAAAUACGGGCUACAUGGCAAAGGAGCUGUAGGAUCUAGCUAAUUUGUUCCCGAAGAACCCAGGAGGCUAUUCAUGGGACCAGGUCAGAGUAUAGAAUAUAGAUUUGAAUGAGAGAGAGUUCAGUGAUGGGGGGCACUCUCCUUGGUACAGGAUUUCACAUCUUGGCCAGGAUCCCUGAGACAAUGCUAACCCUCUGCUUGAAAGCCUGGAGGAAGCAAUGACCCAUCCAGGCGGAUGGUGGAGGAAGGGACCAAGUGGCCCGGAGAAGUGGACAUGCUGGAGUGGAUGUAUUCCCAAGAUGGGCUGGAGGGCUUCCUGUUUGCAAAGCAAUGCCCUGGAAAGAGUGGCCCCAGCACUAUCCAGAAGCUCAGGGCUGGCGUGGCUCUGUGGGUCAAGCUGACAGAUGAUGAAAUCACAGAACUGGUUCUUGGGAGCAACAGGGAGGAGAGGAUCCUGAGAUGACAGAGGCCAGAAGUGAGGUGAAGGCAGUGAUCACAGUGAGAGACCGGAUCAGUGGCGCCCAAGUGGUACCCUGCCCUGAGGACAGCCUAUGGGGUGGCAGGUGGACACGUUGCUCCUAGAAUAGAAACAGUUGGGCAGUCAAUGAGGGUCAUAUUUGAUUUAGAUAAUUAUGAAUAAUCACGAGGAUGAACAAAGCCACCCCAAAGGACAGUCAGGAUCUCUCGCCUAGUUUCUUGAAUUGCGCUGGUUCUAAGACCCAGAGCCCGUGGAUGAAGAAGAGGCGUUCCUCCUAGCGGGGGCCCUGCAACAUGACAGCAAGUAUAGAUUCAGCAGUGCUUCCCCAGCUCUUCCCCAAAGGGAUGCAGCCCGUUUGUUCAGGCAAAAGUGCGCUGGGGAAAGAGGAGUGCCUGAGCUUUUCAAGGACUGUGGAAGUUAUUUUGAGAUUUGAGGGACCCCAAGGACCACCAUGGCCCUCCUGUUAGAGUGGAGAGCAGGGAGUCAGGCAAUAAGUGGACUCCUUGCUCAGGUCCACCUCACAGUGAGACCCCUGGGUCUGCGGAGGUCCUUGGUCCUCAAGUACCACUGGGAACAGAUGUGCUUGGUCUUUGGCGUGAUCUGCCCGUUGGUUCCUUUGCCCACAGUAAAGCAGUGCUGUAGUGGGGCAGACCCUUUCCCUCACAAGACAGUAAGUCAUAAACACGAUCACAUCUCGUGUUGGGGCCGGAGUGCAGAGGUGAGUGCCACCCUGAGAGACGGAGAAUGUGGGCUGGUGGUCCUUGUCAGAGCCCCACUGAAUUCACCCUCGGGCCCUGCACAAAGCAGAUAAACCACAAGAGACGACAGAGAACUUCCACAAAGGGAGUCCAGAAGAAGCUCCUUUGCAGCUGCUCUGCCGGAUAUGACCUUUUUUUUUUUUUUUUGCUAAAGAAAAUCAUCACCACAGACUCUGGCCUGUGGGAGGAAGCCAUUGAUCUAGGGAAUGCGUCUUUCCCAUCUCUGAGAAAAGGACGAUCAGAAGCAGUUCAAAUUUACCUGAAACAAACUAAAGACAUUUGUAUGGUCCUGCUACAGGUCCGUGCUAACUUUCAUACCCUUUGCCAUUUAGUCUGAAGUCACCUGGACCUUCUGGACACCCCACAGGGUAUCACGUGCAUCCACGACAGCGAUGCGUCAUGUGCGCUGGACCAGAUGAACGAGAACCGGUGCGGAGGUUGGGGGCCUCGGUAAGACGCGUGACCAUCAAAAGCCGGGAGGGAAGCCCUGCUAGGACUCUGAGGUCCGCAACAGCAGUGCCGUUUUGAGGGAUCCAGAGACUGGGCUUGCUGGGGUAGUCCCUCCAAAGUAAGGAAGGACCGCAUUUCGUAUCUCCCAUCAUUGAAAAGAUACCCCAUGCUUAGCAGGCGUCUUCGGACUUUAGAAGCAGCGUGUUCUGCCCCUGGGAAUAGAGCUCCAACCCAUUUCUGGGUGAUAGGGAUGGCUGCCAUCUUAGAGCAGGACCCGGAGAGGACAGCGCUCCGUAGCAGGGCAGGUGACAGUGCGAGUGACCCUGUCUCCUGUGCCGUACAGCCUGGUCAGCCUGAUGGUGUGUGGCUGGUCUCUAGAGAGACGGAUGAUGGGGAAAGACGCCAUGUGGUGCUUAUGGCAAGCCCUGGGGGAAUCAUCUGGUAGCUCCUGGACUUCUGGAGAGAGGCUGUGUCAUCAGUGGUGGAGAAGUACACGUCACGGAAAAGGGGCUCCCAGCCAGCUCCUGGGCCCUGGGGGAGACGGGGCGCUUCUCUUUAGAACGUCCUGUGACCUACCACAUGGCCAGGCUGGGCUCUGUCAGACCCACUAACUUAUAAGACAGGAUGGGCUCAUCGUAAGGGGAAGUGAGCGAUCCAGGACUGGGACGCCUCUGGCAUGAGCAGAGUCAGACAGAACAAGGAAGAUGCACGGACAGUUGGCUGGGCCCCACAUCACCCACCACUGUUCUGGUGUUUCUCCACUCACAUGGAUGGCCCUCGGUGGGGCCACAGCGACACCCCUCAGGGAUGGCCUUGGAAGACAGCCACGAGGAGGGGUUGUCCAGGGGCACAUAUCCUGGCAGAUCACCUGGUCAUCCGCUUUGUGAGGGAAGGGAAACGGCCUGAGAUAAGAAUACAUGCCAUGUGACCCUCACGGCCAAGCUUGUGGACAGGUGACUAUUCUGCAAGGAGGAAGACUGGCACACGGGAGACAAGGAGGUGUGGGGAAGGGGCCUGUGGAUGGGCUUCUGGGAGUGAGCACGGAGUGUGCACAGGUCUGUGUGUCACACAGCAAUGCCCAGCGAAGUGUGUUCACAGUGGACCACGGAAGAGGCGGUAAAGAACCAGACAGGGUGACUGGGCUGGUGGACAGCAGUCAGCCUGUCAUCACACCUCCCAGUGCAGGUACCACAGAUGCCAUGGCCGCAGAGAUGAAGGCUACACGUGGGUCCGUCUGGAGGACUUCCACUCACCAAGGCGCUCGAUCUAAGUGCUGCUGGAUGUCAAUUCAACCAGCAGCAGAGACUGGAAACACUGAGGACAGCCCAUGUUCAAGUUAUUGGCUGACGUCGGGGCACAAAGGCCCAGCCGCCAUGCCCCAGCAUGGAAAGGACCUGAGGGACCAUCUCCCGCCCCAGAGCUCCCUGCAGGAGGCUGGGAUCCAGGUGCCGCCUUGCUGAGG